rnacentral:tRNA from 1 species
GAUAAAAUGGCUGAGUUUAAGCAAUAAAUUGUAAAUUUAUUUACGGAAAUUUUUCCUUUUAUCA